CAGCCCUAAACGAUGCGCGUUAGGUGUAUCGGUGACCACGAGUCACCGAGGUGCCGAAGGGAAACCGUGAAACGUGCCGCCUGGGAAGUACGGUCGCAAGGCUGAAACUUAAAGGAAUUGGCGGGGAGCACCACAACGGGUGGAGCCUGCGGUUUAAUUGGACUCAACGCCGGGAAGCUCACCGGAUAAGACAGCGGAAUGAUUGCCGGGCUGAAGACCCUGCAUGACCAGCUGAGAGGUGGUGCAUGGCGUCAGUGACU
rnacentral:rRNA from 1 species